CUGUUCUACAUGACCAGCAAGCAAGCCACCCGCCUCAGCCUCCCGAAGUGCUGGGAUUACAGGCGUGAGCCACGUGCCUGGCUAGUUCUCUACUUUUAAGGACUCGUGUGAUUAGACUGGAUCCACCUGAACAACCUCGAGUAGUCCCCCCAUCUCAAAGUCUUUAACUGAGUCACAUCUACCAAGGCCCUUUUGUUUGCCAUGUAAGGUCACCUAUUCACUAGUUCUGGGCGUUAGAAAGUGGACAUCUUGAGGAGGUCGCUAGCUUGCUGCCCACAGGCAGGUUAGGCCAUGUGAUUUGCUGACCCUCUGCAGAUGUUACACUGAGGCAGUAAACCUUUUCCAGGUGACUCAUACCACCUGUGCACAUCGGGAGACAGAGUCAUGUGAACUGCAGCAAACCAGUGCCAGCUGUGCAUUGUGCAAAGCAGGACUUGAAUGUGUCCAUCAAACGCACUCUGUGGUCGAGCCAUCAGAUGCCCUAAUUAAUGUUCACAUGGCUUUGUGAAAUCCAACUGUAGGCUAGCUUGUAAAGUGUUUUUACAAGAGCUGACACCGAUGGAACCUACUCAGCUUGCUUUUCCUGUUCCAGCUUUUUCAGGCACAGUCAGGACCCCCUGGAACUCCACCAGCUCCCCCAUUCCCCUCCCAUGAGUGUGGGUGGCCCCUCGUAGCCUCUGACCACCUACUGGAACCUGCAGAGGCAGUAUUAGCAGACCUGAGGUCUUCCUCUGCAUUGCAUUUGCUGUUCCCUGGCCUGCAAUGCCCCUUCUUUGCCCCCUCCCCCGAGGGCCUAGCAGCCCCUCCUACGCAGCCCUCUAGCCCCUCUGUGCUCAAAGUGCAUCUGAGGACAUCACCUGAGAGCUGUAGGAAAUGCAGGAUCUCAGGCCCCGCCCCAAACCUACUGAAGCCAGAUCUGCUGUUUAACAUGAUCCCUGGAGAUUCAUAAGCAUGUUGUCUACGCAGCACGGAGUGAGGCGCGGCUCCUCUUCGCUGCACCCCUUCCUGACUACCCCUAGGCCCAGCCAAAUAAACUCUUCUUCCUGCUCCCUUGUGCCCCAUUUGGACUUCGUUCAUAACAAGGGAGUAUAACUGGAUGGUAAAAGGGACUUUUCCUGUUACCUAGACAUUUCAGCCUCAAAGGCAGAACAAAUUAAGGUAGGUGCAAGGAGCCACACAUCCAUACAAUGUUGAGACCCUGCCCAGGACAAGCUCGUUGGGAGCUUUAUAGCAGAAAUUCAAGUGGCUUCUCCAAGAAACCCACGAAAGCACCCCAAAGAGAAGUCAGCCCUAGAAACCCCAAUGUCAGCUCACAACUGAAGCAGUCAGAUCCUGGCACCCAAGUGACAACCUGCAUUGAAAAGGCGGAACUUGGCUCUCCUGCCCUUCCAGCUGUAAGAGCCUGAAACCGAAGCUAUGGGGGGAAUGUCUUUCAUUUCCCCCUGGAAGCUGGGAGGACGUUCAGCUUAGCAUUGCCAACUGUGUAAUGUGGGCUUGCCUCUAAAAGAAGCCCUUUUCCUUGGACGUCUUUCAGGCCACAGUAUUCCCUUUGGCACCUCUACCCACUUGGGACAAAGCCUGAUGUAAAGUCUGGGUGCAACUCAGACCGGCCUGGGAAAGAAUUUAUUUAAUAAAUGGUGGAAAGUGGCUUCCUUAA